GAGAGAGAGAGAGAGACAGACCUCUUAAUGUAACUCCUUAUAUCAUUGUCCCUCACAACAACAGCUGCUACUAUUUAUUUCAUGGACGUACUGGUCUAGUCUGUCCUUAACGGCACACCAUUUAUGUAACCUCCUAACCUUGCUCAUACAUGUAUGAAUUCUGAAUCACUUUCUAUAUUAUUUUCUGGUGAGAGGGCUUCACUCCAGUCUGUGAACAGCUUGUGUCCUUCUGACUGAGGCAGCUAGGGUUUUGGACCAGGUCUGGUAUGAGGCAGGGCAGACAGGUAUGCUAAGCUAGCCAGGUCUGGUAUGAGGCAGGGCAGACAGGUAUGCUAAGCUAGCCAGGUGUGGUCUGAGGCAGGGCAGGGCAGACAGGUAUGCUAAGCUAGCCAGGUCUGGUCUGAGGCAGGGCAGACAGGUAUGCUAAGCUAGCCAGGUCUGGUCUGAGGCAGGGCAGACAGGUAUGCUAAGCUAGCCAGGUCUGGUCUGAGGCAGGGCAGGGCAGACAGGUAUGCUAAGCUAGCCAGGUCUGGUCUGAGGCAGGGCAGACAGGUAUGCUAAGCUAGCCAGGUCUGGUCUGAGGCAGGGCAGGGCAGACAGGUAUGCUAAGCUAGCCAGGUCUGGUCUGAGGCAGGGCAGGGCAGACACGGAUGUUAGGCUGUAGAGUGAGUAUGCGGCCACAAGCCUUCACAGAUUUGCUAAAAAAGAAAAUGUGAUAACUUUUUUAAAUCCAAUGUAUUUUCCACGUAGAUUGUAGAUGUAGAUGUCACAAUACAUUGACAAAGACAAAUUACAAUGAAACAACGUUGAUCCAACCAGCUUGUGGCCAGUGGGAGGGAG
rnacentral:lncRNA from 1 species